rnacentral:ncRNA from 1 species
AAGCGUGAUGUCACGACAAUAGUGAACGUGUGCUGGGUUUAGCAGUCGUGAGACAGGUUAGUUUUACCCUACUGAUGACAAGUCGUUGCGAUAGUAAUCCUGCUCAGUACGAGAGGAACCGCGGGAUCAGACAUUUGGUUCAUGCGCUCGGCUGAAAGGCCGGUGGCGCGAAGCUAGCAUCUGCAAGAUUAUGACUGAACGCCUCUAAGUCAGAAUCUUUUCUAGUCAUUGGCAACGAUAAGUUGCGUCCAGACUCGAUGCGAGGAAACGAUUAGGCUUUGCUGCUAUACGGCGAAGCCAUUAUCAGACCACGGUAGCAGGCAGUAUGGGAUUGUUACGAAGAAGCAAUUUUUUGAAGUCAGUUGAAUUCAAUGAAACUGCUAACAAUUCCACUGCGAAUGACUCCAUUCGAAUCAAUCGAAGCACAGCGGUCAGGAUGUCGAACAUUUUGCAGACGACAAAAAUACCGGUUCAGGUGUCGUAAUCAGUAGAGCAGUCAACACACUGCGAUCUGAUGACACUCUUCCUUGAAAUCGAUUUGCUC